AUGUCUGCCUGUCAGGACCUCAAACUCUGGUCUCCAGUGGUCAUUACCGGGAUCCCAAAUGUUGUGUUCACACUUCAGCUGAAACAGAUCCAGAUCGGAGACUAUGUGACACUGGACUGCAACAUUUCUUUCCACCAUGAGAUUACAUGGCUGAGAGUGAGGUCCGGGAUGGAUCCCGAAGUGGUGGUGGUCGCUGGCCUAAACAGUGAUGGGCAGAUGUCUACUGUUUGGAGCAUGGGCAGUAACCAUUUCUCAGGCUCAGUUAAGAACAGAUCCAUAGCUCUAAUAAUUAGAAAUGUCUCAGAGGAAGAUUUGGGCUCCUAUUACUGCGUCACUAAGGACGGCAGAAUGCUACAGUUUGGAAAAGGGGCACACCUAUAUGAAACCUUGAAGAUCUCGUGUGGAUCCUCUCAGUUAUACCAAAUAUACGCUGCAGUGCUGGGCAUUGGACAGCUGAUGAUGAUUGUAGCAGUUGUAAUUGUGCACAUGAAGACCAAGAAAAGAAAUAAAGACUGA